rnacentral:tRNA from 1 species
ACCUUGUUGGCUCAGUCAGUUAGAGCACAGGACUCAUGAUUUUGGGGUUGUGAGUUUGAAUCCCAUGUUGGGUG